rnacentral:rRNA from 1 species
UACGUAGGGUGCAAGCGUUGUCCGGAAUUAUUGGGCGUAAAGAGCUUGUAGGCGGUUUUGUCGCGUCUGCUGUGAAAUUUCGGGGCUCAACCCCGAACUUGCAGUGGGUACGGGGCAGACUAGAGUGUGGUAGGGGGAGACUGGAAAUUCCUGGUGUAGCGGUGAAAAUGCGCAGAUAUCAGGAGGAACACCGAUGGCGAAGGCAGGUCUCUGGGCCACUACUGA